AUAAAACUUUUGGCACUAGUUUCAUUGCUUUUGCAAUUUUUUAGAUCAAGUUAUGACAUUUUUACCAAAACUGGUCGGGUGAGCCUAAGUCCAACAAAUUCUGGGCAGAUUGGUUAUGGAUGGUUUUGUUGAUCUAACUUGUACUAACAAUUUGACUUGGUUAGAGGCAGAUCUGGGUUCUAUGUUCUUCAUGAAAAAUGUGCUCCUAUAUCUAACCUUUCCAAUGGUUCAAGAAUUAGUCAUUUUGACCUUCCUAGUGUGAGUUAUGGCCAUUUGAACAUUUACUGUUCAUUUGGUUAUUUUUCCAGUCCAGAUUAGGGUUACUCGGAUUCAAGUUAAUUUUAUACCAGAUUAGGGACAGUUUUUGGGCAUGAUUUCUUCAUGAAAAAUGGGGCAUUAUGACCCU
rnacentral:misc_RNA from 1 species